AUGCUCACUUUGGCAGCACAUAUAAUAAAACUGGAACAAUAUAGAGAAGAUUAGCAUGGCCCCUGCAAAGGAUGAUAUGCAAAUUAAAGACACAUUCUGUUUUUUU
ensembl:snRNA U6 U6 spliceosomal RNA